rnacentral:snRNA from 1 species
GUGCUCCCUUCGGCAGCACAUAUACUGAAAUUAGAGAAGACUUCCAUGGCCCCUGCAUGAGGAGGACCUGAAAAUUCAUGAAGUGUCCCAUACUUUG